UCUGGGCUCCAGAAAACUCGGGAGCGCUCCCCCGCUCGUCCCCGUGAGCUUGACUCAUCCGACCCCGCAGGCCUCUCGGGGAUGUCGUAUCAGGGCUGCUGCUGGGCCAGGAGCAACCUGGAAUAUCUAUCUUUAGAACGAACCAAAGGAGAAAGGCACCGGACGUGGCGAACAAGGGGGCGACCUAUUACUUCUCCUUGAAGGAAGAAAUGAACCUGCUGGGAAGCCACUUUCUCCUAGAUUAAGCACAAACCAUCCAAUGCCCGGUUAGUGUUUAGCUAGGCUAGAAUGGUCUAGAACUGCCCAGCCCUGCUCUUGACCUGAAGGAACUCAAGUCACUAAGCCACCGUCCAUUGCGGUGCUAGUGGCAAGGAAUGAAGCCCCAGCUUCUGGCCAUUGGGAUAAAGGCUCAGCCAGGAAGAUGCUGACUUCCUUCCUGAGAAGUGAACAUUCAUCUGCCUCUCCCCUAAAUGUUGUCUUCUGUCAUUCCCUCCUCAAGCCAUCCAGUCCUGACCCUUGGGCUACUUUUUCCCUUGUUCUUUGAAUGUCUUCAACAAAUAAUAGCCAAUACUUGUUAUAGGGUAAAACUUGUUUACAUGCUUUAUGUUCUUUAAUUCCUCCAAAAGCCAGUGAGGUCCUUCCUUUUAUUCCCAGUUAUAAAGA